AAUAUUGCGCAAUGGGGGAAACCCUGACGCAGCGACGCCGCGUGGAUGAUGAAGGCCUUAGGGUCGUAAAAUCCUGUCAGAAGGGAAGAAAUGGUUUGUAGUUAAUACCUGCACUCCUUGACGGUACCUUCAAAGGAAGCACCGGCUAACUCCGUGCCAGCAGCCGCGGUAAUACGGAGGGUGCAAGCGUUGUUCGGAAUUACUGGGCGUAAAGCGCGCGUAGGCGGCUAUUUAAGUCAGAUGUGAAAGUCCAUGGCUCAACCAUGGACGUGCAUUUGAUACUGGAUAGCUUGAGUAUUGGAGGGGGUGGUGGAAUUCCCGGUGUAGAGGUGAAAUUCGUAGAUAUCGGGAGGAAUACCGGUGGCGAAGGCGACCACCUGGCCAAAUACUGACGCUGGGGUGCGAAAGCGUGGGGAGCAAACAGGAUUAGAUACCCUGGUAGUCCACGCCGUA
rnacentral:rRNA from 1 species